rnacentral:sRNA from 1 species
UUUGCGUUAGGGAUAGAAGCGAUAUCCUUUUUGUCCGCCACGGCGGACUAAAAGAUAUAGCGGAUAGCCCGUUCGCCG